CUUCGAUCUGCCGGCUUGGUUCUCUGACGAGCUCCUCUUCCACUAUAACCCUCUUAUCCAACCCAAGCUCCUCCAUUCUCCUCCCUCCUUUCCUCCCAUCUCAUCAGCCCACUCCUUUUUCGCUGCGUGCUUCAAGCGUUGGAGGAACAGAUGCAGAGCCCAGCCACCGUCUCUGGAAACGGCGAGCCCAGGCGACACCGGUGAUGCGACCGGCUCCGCGGGCUGCUACAACUGACUUCGCGUGGUGCUACAACCAGCACGCGGGGAGCUGGAACCGGCUGCUCCAGAGCUGCGACGGCACGCCGCCGUUUGCUGGAACCGACACUGCGGGGAGCUACAACCAGCUUAUCAAUAGCUGCAACCAGCAGUCUGCGGUGCUACAACCAACAGAGGCGGUGGGGAAGAGAGGUCCACGACGAUGGCGAGCUGCGUGCUAUGUUGGGGGGCGAGAGUUGCUGGAACCGGCGUUUGGCUGAGCUACAUCCGGCAGGGGUGGUGUAGGAGCGACGGCGAGAUGAGGAAGGCAUCUGGCGAUGGAGAAGUCAAGUUGUGGAGAGAGGUGGCGGUGAUCCGGCGAGCGAGCGGAGAUUCGGCGGGUCAUGUCCCCCGUCCAUGGCGCUCGCGCCCCUGUGCGUGCUCCCGUGAUUUGUAGGGGGAAGAAAAGUAAACGGCAUGGUGGGACGAAAGGGUCCUGUAUCUAACGGCUAAAAGCGGUUUCAUCCGAUGUCCCGGGUCCGACCGGCCCAAAUUUGGGCCGGCGGACCGACGCCUAAUAGUGCCCAUUCAACUUUGGGUGUUCAAUUUUUUUUCA